UUGCCUCUAUUUCCCAAGUGCAGG
rnacentral:piRNA from 1 species